AGGUACUCCGACCACUCAUACGCAGCAGGCGGGACCCUCUCAGGGUCAGGCAGUGUGGGACUACUUGUGAGUGGACUUUGUUUUCAACUUAUAAGCAUGGUUUUAUAUUGAGAAUUUUAUGCAUAUGAAUUAAAUAGUUAUUGAAAUGCAUGUUAUAUUUAAUAGUUAAAUUCUUUAUUUUCACAAAGUAUUGGUAAUAUAUUUUGGGUUUUGACAUAUUUGAGUAUCUUGAGUAUGUAUAUAUGGAUUUUGAGAAUUUAUAUAUAUGUUUGGCUAUGUGUGGGGUACUUGGGUUGUUGAGAUGAGAUUUUGGAAAGUGAUGAGUAUAGAAUGUCAGUUUGGAGUGCUAUAAGCACUACCCUAUGUACCUCCCCGGAUUUGGAACUUGGAUACGGAGACUUGAGAUACUUGGAAUUGUCGGAACCCGGGGCAUCCUUGACGGGAUGUUGCUGUAGACCCUUGAUUGGGUAGUCCGCGCGCGUAGGACUGGUCACAGACGUACGAGUUUUGAGGGUAUCGACUGUACGUGCUGGCUGAGAGUUAGUCCCCUAGUUGGACGGCUCGUUCCCUAGUUACAUGGUGAAUUGAGGACUCUUCAUGGGGACUCUGCCAUGGUGACUAGUCAAACAAUCCCCCGGUUGGAUUGUUUCCCCAGUACAACUAGGUGUUGGUCAUAUUUAUAUUAUUAUUAUAUAUGUAUAUAUAUCUCUUAUAUUAUAUAUAUAUAUAUAUUUACAUAUGUAUAUAACUAUUCAUUCAUUCUUGUUUUUCGGUGAGGAUACUUCCUUGCCGGUCGUGCCAAUGGGUACGCUUUCGAGAGUUUGGUUUGGGACUUAUAAUAUUUAAUUGGUGGGUUUGUUUAGUGUUCUGUUUGGAUUUCGGACUUGGCAUCCGGCAUUGGUUUGGUUUUGACAUAUAUAAAUAUUUAUUUGAUUUUGAUGAUUUGGGAUGCAUUCGGAUUUCUUGCUUGGUUUAUUAAACAGUGGGGUUAUAUUAUGUUGGUUUACACUGAACUGAACUUUAUUUUUGUCCACUCACAUUUUUCUGUUUUGCGCCCCCAGCCAGUAGUCGACUGAGCUCCGCAGCUGAGCCGGAUCGUGUGCUCACGAGCCUUGAGCCUUCGUAGGAUUCCUUCAUUCUGUUUCCCUUGAACUUUGUUUUUGUUGUAUUUAAAUUCCUUAGAUAUGCUCUGUUAUUGCCCUUGCUAGGGUUUGAUCUUUGAGGCCGGAGGCCUUUGUUGUAAACUGUUUAUUUGCUUUAAAGCAUGCUGCUGGUUGGGUACCUUAAACUGUGAAUUUUGAGUAGGUUGAAUUUUUGGGGAAAUGUUCAAUUUACAGGGGAGACUCUACCAAAUUUUUUUGUAGAAAGUCUCGAUUCUUAGUAAGUGGGCCCGGCAUCGGGGAGAUGUCGGUAACAAGACGAGAUUCGCUUCGGUUUUUGAGAAUUCCGGGGCGGGUCCUGUCAGUCAGGGAGGUCACGAGGACGCGCCAAAAACAAUGAACCGUUGGAGUUGGUUAAGCUGCAAAAAAAAAAAAAAGAAAAAAAAAAGUGCGUUUCAAAAAACUGAAAGGAAAAGCAUGCCGCCCAGAAAACUUAAAGGAAAAUUGGGGGUGGGGGGGGGGGGGGGGGGGGGGGGGGGGGGGGUGGUGUGAUAACGAUGAUGAUGAAAAUCAUCUCUGCUAACUUCAGGCACUCAGUUUUCAAACCCAUGUUUAAUGUUUUAAUAUUCUCGUUUUGUGCAGAAACAUCGAUUCCCUCAAGUUCUCAGAUCCUACAUGUUUAUACCGGAAAUAAUCGACCUAUGACUGCCAAACACGUGGACUGAAUCGAUAUUUAUCACAAUAAACCCUUCGGCAUGUGCCCUACCGAAGCCAUACAAUUUGACUCUUUUGCACCUGGACACGUGUCAUGCUCACAAUCCGCCUCUACAGUCCCACAUCGG
rnacentral:lncRNA from 1 species